GGCCCCAUCGUCUAGAGGCCAAGGACACCACCCUCUCAAGGUGGAGACACGGGUUCGAAUCCCGUUGGGGCUGCAA
rnacentral:tRNA from 1 species